AGUACUUCUAUUCUAUUCUAUAUUCUUAACCAAAUCUCAUUGUCUCUCAAGGUAAUGACUGAUGUUUUGACUUGCAUUUCUCAAUCAUCAAAGUCUUAGUGAAAGAUGAAGCAAUGUUUUCAACCAUGGGUUAACAUGAUAGGGAGGGAAUAGAGUUCCCAUCCGCUGAGGUCAGGCUGCCAUCUUUGCGCAGUGGCAGUAUCGUAGCCUAUGAGGUUUAUCCGAGGCGCGAUUAUUGCUAGUUGAAAACUUUACCCAAUACCCCGCCUUGACGACUUGAAAUAUAGUCGGCAAUGGCAAUUUUUUGACGGUCUCUACGGAGACUGAUUUUAUUGUAAAUGGAACAAAACUUUGAUCUGAGAAGUAUUAAGAAAGUAAACUGUAUUCAUUGGUAUGUAUUUCCGAAUGGUGAUGACGCAGAAACCUCGGCGCAUGCGCCGAGCAAACAAAACGAAACCUCGUGUCGGUGGUGCGCGUAUCGCUUUAAGGAAAACCACGUGACCAAAUACAGUUCCUGUGUUGUUUGGUUGCGAACGCGCCAAAUUGUAUUUGUGAAGGAGAAACGGCGUCGACACGUUUGUGGGUUUUGUUGAAUGGAGAUACUUUGCGUUGGUUUUCGGCUCGUAUUUGAACACCGGCAUGAAUCAACCGAGGAAGAAGAUUUUUCCUCCCGUGUGGGAUCAAUCUUGAUCUGGUCGCGGAGAAUAAGGUGAAACAGGAUUUGCUCCCAGGUGUGGUCUUACUGUAACUGGAGCUCUUCCACAAUGCUGAGGCAUCAUCGCGCCCGGCAUGAGGGGGAUGAUCCGGUUAACACUCCGUGAUAAACCCUGGUGCUUCCAGAAAGCAGGCGUCUGAACUGGACCUUCAACUCAACCGCCUGCUCCCAGUUCAGCAGCUGAACAUGGAAAUCGAAGAGAGCAAGGCCAAUUCAAAUGUCUCCACAGAUGCUGUCAUCCAGGUACAAAGAUUCAUCUCGGAGGCGAACGCACCAAGAUCACAAGGUCCGGUACAAUACUGGGGGAUGCAAAGACUACAAUUACCCUACGUCACACAAACAUUGAUUAAAUUUCUAUGUAUGCCGUCAUCAUCGGUGUUCUCAAAAGCAGGAGAAGUGGUUUGUAGACGGAGCAAUCGCCUCCACCCAAGGCUGUUACAGCAGCUGAUGUUUCUAAAUAAAAACAUGUGGAUGAACCUUGUCCAGUCUGUUUUCAGCCACUUGCUGUGACAUGAUCUGCAACAGCAACACAUUGUCAGCAGUGUGUCGACACAGUUUGAGGUAUAUGCCAUACACCCAAUGAGGCAUCAUCUGACCGUCACUAUUUCUGAAAGCGGUCAGGAUGUGUCUGGUCAAUGAAAUCUUCUAGUUUCUGUAUAACAGAAUUCAUAAGUGAUUUUUCUCUUCCGUUCCACGUUUGAAAACCAAUUAACUGUUUUGAGCCAGUUCGCCUUGUCUCGUGAAAGCAAAGAAGACAAUGUCUUUUCGUCAACAUAUAAAUAUUUGGAUGACCCAUAAGUACCCAAAUAUUUCUGUCUAAAGUCUUCAAGAAGAAAUAGGCUCUUAUUUUUUCAGUGUCAUAACUACUCUGAGGUUUGGACAUUGCAUAUCAUUUUACAGCAAUGGGCUGAACAACACAGUGACUGCUGAGUGAUAUUAUUAGCCAUUUGGGAUGCCAUUUAAGAUUUUCACCAGCUGAAGAUGAAGUGUAUAGUCACUUUAGCAUUUUUUAGCAAUUGUGAAUAAAAUCGACAGAAUGCAAAUUGUUGAAUGUUUUGGGCUUCCUGCUUCUUCGUGUAAGUUAUCUAAAAAAACCAAAAAAACAAAACCUUGAUGAAUUAUUGUAUUUUAUAAAGUGAAUGUGGAAUUUGAUUAGUUUGGCAGCUGUCAGUAAAAUUUGAUUAAAGUCUACAUUGCAGUUCUCGAAUUGAAGCAAACAUUGGUUUCAAUCAGUUGAUGCUUAAUAUUGUCAAGUUAUUUUAAAAUGUGAUUAUAAUGUUAUUACUGUUGCCUCUGCAGAGCUGCUGAAUGAAGAUGAAGCAAUGUUUUCAACCAUGGGUUAACAUGAUAGGGAGGGAAUAGAGUUCCCCUCCGCUGAGGUCAGGCUGCCAUCUUUGCGCAGUGGCAGUAUCGUAGCCUAUGAGGUUUAUCCGAGGCGCGAUUAUUGCUAGUUGAAAACUUUACCCAAUACCCCGCCUUGACGACUUGAAAUAUAGUCGGCAAUGGCAAUUUUUGACGGUCUCUACGGAGACUGA